ACUAUGCCAAAUGUUUGUCGUGGUAUCCAGUCUUUGGAACCCUUUUCUUACCAUCCUCAGUUUGUAUUUCCUCUCACACUGUAACACCUUCUUUAAAAAUUGCAGUGAUGGCAAGAUCCACAGCUUUUGGGAUGUGGAAUUGGAAGUGGUCUUCUUCAGUGAUGAGUCUAAAUUUUGUCUGUCGAAGAGUUUUUGUGCCACACACAUCUAAAUCAGUUUGAUGGAGGGCAAAUUAUUGACUUAAAAGAGACAGGAUUUUCCUUUGUAGAAGUUCCCAAUCGGAUGAACCGGAGUCGAAGCACAGUUUGGAGUUGUUGGAGCUAGAUCUGAAGAAGGUUAGACCUUAGAAUUUUGGUUCUACAAGGUCACUUUGUAGCUAUUCGUGAAAUUGCCAACCAGCCAUCUACAGAAGAAUGAUGGCAAGAUCCACAGCUUUUGGGAUGUGGAAUUGGAAGUGGUCUUCUUCAGUGAUGAGUCUAAAUUUUG